rnacentral:lncRNA from 1 species
GGUUCAACAUGUGAACACGAAAGACCAACUUGCUGAUAUUUUCACCAAAUCCCUCGGUCGACAGAAGUUUGUCGAGAUGAGGAGGAAAGUCGGAGUGCAAGAAGUGAAGUCAAGCAACAAGAUUAAGGAGGUGAAUGUAGAAGUUAAUCAUGUUGUUUCUUUAGGAUUAGGAAAGAAAGCCAAACCGAGUCCUAGUAGUAUUAGGAUUCCUAGUCCUAGUCUAUUUUCAUAGUCCCUUGUGGACGUGUAUAAAAGACACCCUAGGGGUGUUGAUUGUACCAUCAGAAAAAGGAAAAAGCAAUACAAAGCAAAGGCUCGACACGGGCCUUUAGCCAUCAAAUCCAUCGAUCAGUUUUAUUCGUGUCGCUAGUUACGCAAGUUCCGUCAAGUAGCCGGCCGAAGCAAGAAUCGCGUAGGCACGCCUGUACAGCUGCAUCCGCAAGUUCAAAAGCCAACAGUCAUUACUAGUUUUGGCCUGUUCACCAUAGAAUUAUCUGUGCGGCAGUGACCGCCACAGAUUCAGGUGGCUGGUUUUGACUUUCAAGUAUCUCUCCUCCCAAUGUUGAUCCUAAUGCUUUCGGAACGGAGAAGAUGUUGAUGAAUUGAGAUGCUCUCCACUGCCAUGCUUUCAGCUCAACAAUAAGUCGAUCGUUCGCUGCAUUUUGGUGUGUGGCCACUAUGUCGAGCACCAGCACUUAAGAUGCAUGAUAUUCUGCAUCCUAUUCUCACUCA